rnacentral:rRNA from 1 species
AUUGAACGCUGGCGGCAGGCCUAACACAUGCAAGUCGAGCGGAUGAAGGGAGCUUGCUCCUGGAUUCAGCGGCGGAUGGGUGAGUAAUGCCUAGGAAUCUGCCUGGUAGUGGGGGAUAACGUCCGGAAACGGGCGCUAAUACCGCAUACGUCCUGAGGGAGAAAGUGGGGGAUCUUCGGACCUCACGCUAUCAGAUGAGCCUAGGUCGGAUUAGCUAGUUGGUGGGGUAAAGGCCUACCAAGGCGACGAUCCGUAACUGGUCUGAGAGGAUGAUCAGUCACACUGGAACUGAGACACGGUCCAGACUCCUACGGGAGGCAGCAGUGGGGAAUAUUGGACAAUGGGCGAAAGCCUGAUCCAGCCAUGCCGCGUGUGCGAAGAAGGUCUUCGGAUUGUAAAGCACUUUAAGUUGGGAGGAAGGGCAGUAAGUUAAUACCUUGCUGUUUUGACGUUACCAACAGGAUAAGCACCGGCUAACUUCGUG